rfam:Clavispora lusitaniae ATCC 42720 scaffold_1 genomic scaffold, whole genome shotgun sequence.
GGGCGUGUGGUCUAGUGGUAUGAUUCUCGCUUUGGGCGAUGGUUCGGAACCCUGAACCUACCAAAUAUGUGAGAGGCCCUGGGUUCAAUUCCCAGCUCGCCCC